CCGACCUUAGCUCAGUUGGUAGAGCGGAGGACUGUAGUUGAAGCAGAAUAUCCUUAGGUCACUGGGUUCGAAUCCGGUAGGUCGGA
rnacentral:tRNA from 1 species